rnacentral:tmRNA from 1 species
GGGGAUGUACUGGUUUCGACGGGGACAUUUGUAAGGGUGAUAAGCAAGCCGCAGUUGAAUACCCUGCGUUAAAAAGAUUCACCUAAAAAUAAUUGCUAAAACAAACAAAACUGCAGAGGUGGGUUCUCCCGCUCUGCUUGCUGCCUAAGUAACAGGUAGCCUUCUGUUCUCUCCUUUCCUGUUUGGGAGGGAAACGGGAGCAAAUUUAAAACAGGCUCCCACGCAGCCAAAGCUUUGAGGCGGCGCGGAUUUUAUGAAGCUACUUCUUUUCUGUUUUUGUGGAUAGGGGCUUAAAGAGGGAAAUAACACAAAAUCCAAUAAGCUUGUAGAAAGUUGCCUGGGCAGGUUUUCGGACGCGGGUUCAACUCCCGCCAUCUCCACCA